AUUGAACGCUGGCGGCAGGCCUAACACAUGCAAGUCGAGCGGAUGAAGGGAGCUUGCUCCUGGAUUCAGCGGCGGACGGGUGAGUAAUGCCUAGGAAUCUGCCUGGUAGUGGGGGAUAACGUCCGGAAACGGGCGCUAUAACCGAUACCGUCUGACGGGGGAAGGUGGGGGAUCUUGGGCCUCCAGCCUAUCGGAUGAGCCUAGGUCGGAUUAGCUAGUUGGUGGGGUAAAGGCCUACCAAGGCGACGAUCCGUAACUGGUCUGAGAGGAUGAUCAGCCACACUGGAACUGAGACACGGUCCAGACUCCUACGGGAGGCAGCAGUGGGGAAUAUUGGACAAUGGGCGAAAGCCUGAUCCAGCCAUGCCGCGUGUGUGAAGAAGGUCUUCGGAUUGUAAAGCACUUUAAGUUGGGAGGAAGGGCAGUAAGUUAAUACCUUGCUGUUUUGACGUUACCAACAGAAUAAGCACCGGCUAACUUCGUG
rnacentral:rRNA from 1 species